GAGUAAUGUCUGGGAAACUGCCUGAUGGAGGGGGAUAACUACUGGAAACGGUGGCUAAUACCGCAUAACGUCGCAAGACCAAAGAGGGGGACCUUCGGGCCUCUUGCCAUCAGAUGUGCCCAGAUGGGAUUAGCUUGUUGGUGAGGUAACGGCUCACCAAGGCGACGAUCCCUAGCUGGUCUGAGAGGAUGACCAGCCACACUGGAACUGAGACACGGUCCAGACUCCUACGGGAGGCAGCAGU
rnacentral:rRNA from 1 species